CCAAUAGCGUAUAUUAAAGUUGUUGCAGUUAAAAAGCUCGUAGUUGAAUUUCGGGAUCAGAGUGUCGGUCGUGCCUCGGUACGCACUGACAUUAUUGGUUCCUCCCUUCUGAAGAACCGAGAUGUCAUGAAUUUGGUGUCGCGGGGAAUCAGGACUGUUACUUUGAAAAAAUUAGAGUGUUGAGAGCAGACUUGCGCUUGAAUACAUUAGCAUAGAAUAAUGAAAUAGGACGUUUGAUUCUAUUUUGUUGGUUUCUAGGAUCGACGUAAUGAUUAAUAGGGAUAGUUGGGGGCAUUAGUAUUCAAUUGUCAGAGGUGAAAUUCUUGGAUUUAUUGAAGACUAACUACUGCGAAAGCAUUUGCCAAGGAUGUUUUCAUUAAUCAAGAACGAAAGUUAGGGGAUCGAAGACGAUCAGAUACCGUCGUAGUCUUAACCAUAAACUAUGCCGACUAGGGAUCGGACGAUGUUAAUUUUUUAAUGACUCAUUCGGCGCCUUACG
rnacentral:rRNA from 1 species